rnacentral:rRNA from 1 species
GACGAACGCUGGCGGCGUGCCUAAUACAUGCCAGUAGAACGCACAGUUUAUACCGUAGCUUGCUACACCAUAGACUGUGAGUUGCGAACGGGUGAGUAACGCGUAGGUAACCUGCCUGGUAGCGGGGGAUAACUAUUGGAAACGAUAGCUAAUACCGCAUAAUAUUAAUUAUUGCAUGAUAAUUAAUUGAAAGGUGCAAUUGCACCACUACCAGAUGGACCUGCGUUGUAUUAGCUAGUAGGUGAGGUAACGGCUCACCUAGGCGACGAUACAUAGCCGACCUGAGAGGGUGAUCGGCCACACUGGGACUGAGACACGGCCCAGACUCCUACGGGAGGCAGCAGUAGGGAAUCUUCGGCAAUGGACGAAAGUCUGACCGAGCAACGCCGCGUGAGUGAAGAAGGGUUUCGGAUCGUAAAGCUCGGUUGUAAGAGAAGAACGGGUGUGAGAGUGGAAAGUUCACACUGUGACGGUAUCUUACCAGAAAGGGACGGCUAACUACGUG